rnacentral:siRNA from 1 species
CGCUGCGACAAGCACCGGCGGCAC